AGCGCAGCCGCGGUAAUACGAGGGGGGCAAGCGUUGUUCGGAAUUAUUGGGCGUAAAGGGCGCGUAGGCGGUUUGGCAAGUUUGGUGUGAAAUCUUCGGGCUCAACUCGAAGUCUGCACCGAAAACUGCCGGGCUUGAGUAUGGGAGAGGUGAGUGGAAUUUCCGGUGUAGCGGUGAAAUGCGUAGAUAUUGGAAGGAACACCUGUGGCGAAAGCGGCUCACUGGACCAUUACUGACGCUGAGGCGCGAAAGCUAGGGGAGCAAACAGGAUUAGAGACCCCCGUAGUCCCUGUCUCUUAUACA
rnacentral:rRNA from 1 species